AAAAUAAAAAUUAAUGCAAAAAUGAUUUUAAAAAUUGAGAAAAAAAGUAUGUGAUGCACAAUAUUUUUAAUGACUUUGUGUAAAAAAAAUUGGAUCAAAGUGAAUUAAAAUGAGUGAUAAAAUAAAUUGGAAAAUAAAUUAAAUAAAUGAAGAGAAAAUAAGAAGAAAUUAAAAUAGAAUAAGGCGUCAAUGGCAAGGGAAUUCAACAAAAUGUGUUGGCGCAAUGUGAU
rnacentral:lncRNA from 1 species